CCUUGUACACACCGCCCGUCACACCAUGGGAGUUGGCUUUACCCGAAGCCGGUGCGCUAACCGUAACAGGAGGCAGCCGACCACGGUAGGGUCAGCGACUGGGGUG
rnacentral:rRNA from 1 species